rnacentral:lncRNA from 1 species
CUCCAGCCUGGGGGACAAAGAGAGACCUGUCUCAAAGGACAAGGCAAAGAGCAAAAAGGACAUUCCAUCCUUGGGCACGGGAGAGCUGGGGAACAGCUCUAGUCCUGAUUGGGGUGGAGGGUGGAGAGCGUUUUACUUUGGACUCAGAAGUGACUGACUUACUAAGGGGUCUUUACCCAAAUCGGUGGAAACUUGUAGGCAUAAGGAGGAUGUGUAUUAGAAACCGAGGCAGAACCUGUGUUGUCGGGUCCAUGUGAAGUUUCCGAUUUCUCCCUUGACUCUGAUGAGCUGGGGCUGCCUAGCUGCUCUAGAACCUGGACUUGGAGUGAAACCCCAUCUCUAUUUUUAAAAAAUACAAAAAUUAGCCGGGCAUGGCGGCACGCACCUGUAGUCCCAGCUACUCGGGAGCCUGAGGUGGGAGAAUCUUUUGAACCCGGGAGGUGGAGGUUGCAGUGAGCUGAGAUUGCACCACCGCACUCCAGCUUCAGAGACAGAGCAAGAUCGUCUCAAAUAAAUAACAAGAUUGUCUCAAAUAAAUAAAUAAAUAAAUAAAUAGAACCCAGACUUGGCCAUGACCCCUGCCUCUACUUCAUGCACGUGGCCCUGCCUUCUCUUGCCUGCCUUAGGCGCUGAGCCCUUCCAUCCCAGGGUCCAGCUGCCUGCGGGCUGCUCCCCAGCUGACCCCUCAGAGUCUGACUCAAGGGGUUACCACUUUCCCCUUUUCCCCUGAAUCCCAAGUUCUCUAUUUCUUGAUCCAAUCCUUUCUUUCCAGCUUGGGCUCUUUUGUAAGGGGUCACACGGGCACAGAGAGAAAAGUCCGUGCUGUUGAAAUAGCUAGAUCUCUGGCUUCCGGAGGGUCAGAGAUAAGAGAGUGAGUUACCAGGCUGUGGAUUUCAGGGGAAAGUUCUGUUUCCAGCCUACUGGGAAAGAUGUGUCCAUCUGUCCCUGAGCAGGUGGUUCGUGACUGUAGAUCACACUCAGAUUUUCCGGCCCAGACCAGGCUAGCCUUGAGCAGAGCAGGAAUGAGCCUUCUCCCAGGGCUGGAAAAGAAGCUUCCGUCUGGAAGGGGCAAAAGAAAUGACACGGUGCCCCUGGGAUCCCCAGCCCAGCCUCCCAUGCUGGAAGGGCUGGAGGGAGGAUUGACGCAAGGAGUCUGAAAAUUCAUGCCCGCCUUCGUCUGGAUUUGUGGUUGCUUCUGUAAUUUGUUUAGGUGGCUUUUGAUCUGUGAAACCAUUUGGUUUUCAGCUUUCAGGGUCUGCUUGCCUUUUUUUUUUUGAGACAGAGUUUUGCUCUUGUUGCCCAGGCUGGAGUGCAAUGGCGCGAUCUUGGCUCACCGCAACCUCUACCUCCCUGGUUCAAGCAAUUCUCCUGCCUCAGCCUCCCGAACCACGCCUAGCUAAUGUUUGUAUUUUUAGUAGAGACGGGAUUUCACCAUGUUGGUCAGGCUGGUCUCGAACUCCUGACCUCAGGUGAUCCGCCCGCCUCGGCCUUCCAAAGUGCUGGGAUUACAGGCAUGAGCCACUACGCCCGGCCCUGCUUGCCUUUUCUUUUUUGAAGUUCCCAUCCCCAAACUGCAGCAAUAACAGGGCUAGGAUACAUAUAGCAGUUGCUGUUUGCUAGGCCCUGUUUCAUACUCAUUAUUCUAUCUCAUUUUCACACAACUGAAAAAUGGGUGAUUGACAACCAGGCGUGGUGGCUCAUGCCUGUAAUCCCAACACUUUGGGAGGCCAGGGUGGGUGGAUUACUUGAGCUCAGGAGUUUGAGACCAGCCUGGACAGUUUGGUGAAACACCAUCUCUACUAAAAAUACAAAAUUAACCGGGCAUGGUGGCAGGUGCCUGUAAUCCCAGCUACUCAGGAGGCUGAUGCAGGAAAAUCACUUGAACCCGGAAGGUGGAGGCUUCAGUGAGCCAAAAUGAUGUCACUGCACUCCAGCCUGGGCAACAGAGUGAGAGUCUGUCUCUUAAAAAAAAGUUUUGAGGGAAGGGGCCAAUGAAGGGACUUAUAGGGAGCUGUGGGACACACGGUGAGGGGCUUGAGCUAUCCUGGGUUGGGAAUGGGGGACAGGCAUGUAAGGGUCACGUGGGGGGAACAGCUGAGAUACUGAGAAACAGGAUGAAGUCUGGUUAAGAGCUGGGGCUGCUGGAGCCAGUCUGUCUCUUAGCUGAGUGACUCUGAGCAAGAUAGCAACUCCUCUAUCUGUCAGUUUCCUCAUCUUUCAAGUGAGAAUAGGACCAAUACCUUAUUUUAUUAUUUUAAGAGACAGAGUCUUUCUCUGUCAUCCAGGCUGGAGUAUAGUGGCAUGAACAUAGCUCACUCUAGCCUCGAACACCUGCCCUCAAUCUACCCUCCCACCUCAGCCUCCAGAGUAGCUGGGACUACAGGUGCACGCCAUCACACCCAGCUAAUUAUUAGUAUUAU